ACUUCGGGUAAUAAUCAUUUUCUUUUCAAACGGUAAAAAAAAAAAAACCCAGUUGAGCUGCAGCCGGUAUUAAAUCUAGGACAUUUUUCUUGGACGGGCCCACAUUUUAUGUAUUGUUAGAUUGAAAUUAUUUUAAUCUAAGACUAAACAAGUAUUGUACAUUUCAUAAAUACAUUUGGUUGAUAGUUUUAUUUGUCAGUGGGGAGG